GACGAACGCUGGCGGCGUGCUUAACACAUGCAAGUCGAACGGAAAGGCCCUGCUUUUGUGGGGUGCUCGAGUGGCGAACGGGUGAGUAACACGUGAGUAACCUGCCCUUGUCUUUGGGAUAACUUCAGGUAACUGGGGCUAAUACCGGAUAGGAGCUCCUGCUGCAUGGUGGGGGUUGGAAAGUUUAGGCGGUUGGGGAUGGUCUCGCGGCUUAUCAGGUUGUUGGUGGGGUAGUGGCUUACCAAGGCUUUGACGGGUAGCCGGGCUGAGAGGGUGACCGGCCACAUUGGGACUGGGAUACGGCCCAGACUACUACGGGAGGCAGCAGUGGGGAAUAGUGCACAACGGACGGAAGCCUGAUGCAGCAACGCCGCGUGCGGGAUGAGAGCCUUCGGGUUGUAAACCGAUUUCGCCUGUGACGAAGCGUGAGUGACGGUAAUGGGUAAAGAAGCACCGGCUAACUACGUG
rnacentral:rRNA from 1 species